rnacentral:rRNA from 1 species
UACGUAGGGUGCAAGCGUUGUCCGGAAUUAUUGGGCGUAAAGAGCUCGUAGGCGGUCUGUUACGUCGGCUGUGAAAACCUGGGGCUCAACCCCGGGCCUGCAGCCGAUACGGGCAGACUAGAAUUCGGUAGGGGAGACUGGAAUUCCUGGCGUAGCGGUGAAAUGCGCAGAUAUCAGGAGGAACACCGGUGGCGAAGGCGGGUCUCUGGGCCGAUAUUGACGCUGAGGAGCGAAAGCGUGGGGAGCGAACAGG